CUUCUUGGCUGGACUGAUCCUCUUUUAACACAAUCUCUGCAUGUACGUUGGAGACACCAUGGCCAAAAGGACAGAAAUGGGUGCUCAAUAACCAAGGUAGCCCAACCUUCAUGACCACAGUUCACUGGAACAGGAGAGGCCACCUGACUCAAGGUGGGCGAUUGGAAGACCCUUCUGCAGGAAUUGGAAAUUGCAACCAUGAAAGACGAAUUGUUCUAGGGAGCUGGACCUGCGGCUUUCUGGUGGGGCGGCACAUGUGAGCCUCCCUGCUGAGUUCCCAGCACUUCCAGGACCCUGCCUGGCACCUG